ACAGUACAAACUGAACAGACCGUGAUUAAAGUCAUGGAGUCGGGUCACUUGAGUGACAGUGGAAUUUUACACCCACGGGACAGU
rnacentral:ncRNA from 1 species